rnacentral:rRNA from 1 species
GAUGAACGCUGGCGGCGUGCCUAAUACAUGCAAGUCGAGCGAACGGACGAGAAGCUUGCUUCUCUGAUGUUAGCGGCGGACGGGUGAGUAACACGUGGAUAACCUACCUAUAAGACUGGGAUAACUUCGGGAAACCGGAGCUAAUACCGGAUGAUAUUUUGAACCGCAUGGUUCAAAAGUGAAAGACGGUCUUGCUGUCACUUAUAGAUGGAUCCGCGCUGCAUUAGCUAGUUGGUAAGGUAACGGCUUACCAAGGCAACGAUGCAUAGCCGACCUGAGAGGGUGAUCGGCCACACUGGAACUGAGACACGGUCCAGACUCCUACGGGAGGCAGCAGUAGGGAAUCUUCCGCAAUGGGCGAAAGCCUGACGGAGCAACGCCGCGUGAGUGAUGAAGGUCUUCGGAUCGUAAAACUCUGUGAUUAGGGAAGAACAUAUGUGUAAGUAACUGUGCACAUCUUGACGGUACCUAAUCAGAAAGCCACGGCUAACUACGUG